GUCUCGGUUCAGGAGAAGCCAUGCAACAGCCUUCUAAGCUGUGGGUCACAGGUUCGAAUCCUGUCCGGGGUACUA
rnacentral:tRNA from 1 species